CUCGGAAAAACCCGACCAUGAAUAGGCCAUACGUAAUGCUACAGUUCCGGGUAGUAUAUAAACGCCGUCACCGCACAUAUAUUCCCCACACUUACUCUUAGUGCUAAGGCUGACAACAGAAAGUCCUGCCAACUGUGUGAAAGCGAGUCGAAGCUGUUCCCCUUUGAACAGGUGCCAAGCAGAAAACAGACCAAGCAAAAUCGAAGAUGUCCGACCGCGAGGCCAAGGCUAAUUUGGACAACAAGUCCAACCAGGAUAAUCCCAACAACGAACUGUACCAGGGGCACGAGAAGGGCUACAGCGGAACUGGAACCAAGCCCGACCUGGACAACCACUCCAACCAGCUCAACCCCAACAACGAACGUUACCAGGAGCCCAAGAAGAAAUGAAGGGCUUCUGUAUAAUCUCCAAGCAGAUCUUACGGUAGCAUAAGAUAGUAUCAAAUGCUGGCAGAGGAGUGAAGCCGGCCUAGGAGUGUUACGCUCCGAUGUCCGUUUGACUCCCUUUGGCCGGCUAUACUCCUUGGCCAUCUUUGCUACUACUAGUAUCUUAUGGUACCGUAGGAUUUGCUUGGAAACUAGGUAGUUCGAGUCCUGGUAACGCCCCCUGCUGGCUUUACACCGGACUGCUGACGGAACUAAAUCUGAACUGGUGGACUGCUGAACUGUUUGAUUGCUGGGCUGCUGAACUAAAUCUGCACUAAAUAUAAACUACUGAACAGUUGAACUAAAUCUAAAGUAGCAUAGAUUGUUUUAGGCUAAAUUUCACGUCGCAAGAACAUUGUUUAAAGAGUCUACUGUUAGCUCCAGGAAAAAGUUAACACCAGCAAUGCAACAUACAUGUAGUUGCCAUUUGACUACAGAUGUGCCGUGCCCAUGUUUUGCUUCGGCUAUUGUCCUACAAAGUACUUGAGCGUGACGUGCUGUAUAUGUGUAACCACCUCGAUUUCACGACUUACUAGCAUUGCAUAGCUAUCGAUUACAAUCUCAACAGGGCAUGCGUUGCACACUACCAAGAGCAAAUUUCAAAGUGAGCAUAUCAACAAGAACUGACAAUGUAAUAAUAAAUUGUUUUUGUUCAGAAAUAUUUAAUGUGUGCUAAGAAUCUUACAUUUCCAAUCCAACUAAUAAGCGAAAGACAUUUGCGUGCCGAAAACUGUACGAGUUGUACUCUUCUUCAUGAUUUCCUUAUGGCGUUGAAUACAUGAAAACUUACUUGAGCAGGGAAAAACA